UACGUAGGGUGCAAGCGUUUGUCCGGAAUUAUUGGGCGUAAAGGGCUCGUAGGCGGUCCAUCGCGUCGGGAGUGAAAAGCUGGGGCUUAACCCCAGUCCUGCUUCCGAUACGGGUGGACUAGAGGUAGGUAGGGGAGAUCGGAAUUCCUGGUGUAGCGGUGAAAUGCGCAGAUAUCAGGAGGAACACCGGUGGCGAAGGCGGAUCUCUGGGCCUUACCUGACGCUGAGGAGCGAAAGCAUGGGGAGCAAACAGG
rnacentral:rRNA from 1 species